GAGAGAGAGAGAGAGAGAGAGAGAGAGAGAGAGAGAGAUCCCGCCGCCUUCCAGACACUGCUCCUCCUCUCCAGCAAAGAAGAGGGGUAAUUUCGCCCCUCAUAUAGCUACGCAUCGAUCCGCCGUCGUUUAUUUAUGUUGAUGGGUAGAAAGAAAGAAAGAAAGAAAGAAAGAAAGAAAGAAAGAAAGAAAGAAAGAAAGAAAGAAAGAAAGAAAGAAAGAGAAGCGCCCUGCUUCCGAGCUUGCUCAAUUGCUCAAACCAAGCCCCAGAAAAAAAAUCCGUGGUUUCGACGACCAGAAAGCUGAGUCGGGGGAGAGCGCCUGAGGACAAGCAAAAGCCGAGAGAAGAGCCUCCCCCCUCCAGCUUCCUCUCCCCCCCCCCAGGAUACUUGAAUUCAAGCCCUACAGUAGAAACAAACUGGAGAGGAGAAAGGAGAAGAAGCGGCGCGGAGGACGAAGCAGCGGGUCAGCCAUUCGCCUCAAUUUCGGCAGCUGAGGCGGGAGAACCCUCUCCGCGUGCGGAAAAAGGAAAAAAGGGAGGGGGGGGGACUGAAAGCAGAAUUGCGAAGACCGGGAGAGAAGCGGACAAUUAAGAAGGGGAGGGGGGACCGCAGCGGCGGCGGCAGCAGCAGCAACAGCUUUGGAGGGAGAGAAGACAGCUUCCUGAGGUCCCUGCCACCCCCAGCGGGUACUCUCCGCACCCCGUUUUCCGCGAAGCCUGCGGCAGAAGCGAGGGUGCAACCCAGCGGCUAGAAGGGGAGAAAGGAAGGGAGCGAGCGAGCCGAAGCAACUCCCCCCUCCCCCCAGCAACUCCUCAUCGAGACCAGAGAGGCGGAGAAGCCCACCCCGGCCUGGCUUGGCGCACCAGCUUGGAUCCUUCUUGUUCCGCUCUUUUUCCUCCGCCCUCCGUCCCUUCCACCUUCCCGCGCCUUUUCUUCUCCCCCCCCCCCCGUUUGGCUUAAGCCCUUCGUGUUCACAGCGGACCUUGAUUUAAUUUCGAUACAAUUAAGGCACGCGGUGAAUGCCAAGAGAGAAGCCACGUCCAGCCUCCCCUCGCUCGGGUCCUCGAAAGGUGCGGUGCGGUCCAGAGCCACGGAAGGAAGAGGUUGGGCGGCCGCGGAUCAAUUUCUUCCUCGGCUGCAUCCAGCCCGGGACACGGAUGAUCAAAGACAGAUUUGCUCGCUUGUUUUUUGUUCUUUUUAAAGGUCCUCGGGCAUGCUGAAGACAAGGAGAGAAAGCAGAAACCCCUUUUCCCCUAAAGCCUCUGACAGAGAGAAGGAAGGCCCGUAGACGCAGCAUCUUGGGAUCGUGUGAGUAAAACCUACUAGCUUCUUUCUGCUUUGCCUAGACCCUGCGCCGGAGCACCCUGUUUUUACCACGCGAGGCCAGGAACUAGGGCUGCUGCUGCUGCUGCCGCUGUCGCUGUCCCUCGCCCUCCCCCGCUGUGCCCAUCUCCUGGGCUACUUUCUGCAGGAAGGGGGAGGAGCCGACAUCCCACUUCUCCCCACCCCACUCCCCCCCCCACCCCCGCGGUCUUCGCCAUCUGCCUCGGAGACCUUUUGCCUUCUCAAGGACAGAAGGCUGGAGGAGAGGGGGAGACAGCAGGAAAAUAGAAUUCGCUGACGGGUGGGUAUAAGAAGGAGCCGGGAGGAGGAGGAGGAGCAGAGAGGGAGGAAGGCAAAAUCUCGGAUUUGGGUCUCCGGUUUAAUAGGGAUGCUAAAGCAUUCUGCAGCCUGCCUGGCCUAUUUUUUCUCCCUCCACAACUUUCCCCAGUUCUUGUUUCACAGCCCUUCUAGGCACUGGGACCCCAGUUAUGCUAAGGCUGGCGUUUUUCUCUCCACCCAGGGGUGUGUGUGUAUAUGUGUGCGUAAGUGCAUGCACGCUUGUGUUGUCUGUUCAUAUCCAGCACAGAGGAUCCCACUCCCAACCAUCAGAGCUGAGGUUUUCCACUGGCUGUUGUGCAAAGCCAUAGGUGAGGCUCAUCAGGGCUUACUCCCAAGUAGCUGUGUGUAAGAUUGCAGCUUAGGCACUCUGGAUGGAGUUCAGGCAGGCUUCCCAUUUUUUUCUGUACUUGACACAGAACUAUAAGGAAGGAACCUGCCUAGGAGAGAAAUUCGGCUUUAAAAAACCCAAAUAUUUACUGGCUUGAAGGAUACACACUCAGAAGGAUGUGGUAUGUGCACUAGGACAGCUACACAGCACAGCAUCGCUGCCACCUCCCAAGCAGAUGAUAGCAGGAAACUCAGCAUAGCGCCAUCUUAAAUAGCUCUUUCUUUAAAUCUUUAUUGCUCACUCCUGAUGUCAUUGUGCGCAUUUUGAAUAUUUAAAAUUUGGGGCAUCUCUGUCCAGAUUUGAGAUGUGAGAGAAGAAAAACCCCAUUAGUAGUAUAUUAUGAGUCUUUUAUAGAUACUUUAAUCUUUUUUUUUUUAGACACAUCCAACAGAGUGAUCUAAAAGGGAUUUAUUACAUUAGGAACUAUACUACUUGCAGCAAUAGCUUUUGUAACCGGAAUCAUCAAAUCUGCACUUACAGUUUAUAAUUAAUAAGGAAGUCUUAUUUUAUCAAACCAAGGCAAGGUUCUUGCUCCUGGUUCCUUGUUUAUAAUCUGUAUUAUACCCCUUAAUGAAAGUAGAAACAGAAUCAUAGUCUCUGCAUAUUUAUUUGGAAAUAAGACCCAUUUAAUUCUGACAGGGUUCAUAUACUAAAGCAUGGUUUGUGUGACAUUGUGUUCAACAAUUUGCUGAACACACCAUAAACAGUUUGGUUCAUAUAACACAUGCACACACACAUCAAGGUGUUGUGUGAACAAGGAGAUUGUGAGAAAAUAUGCAGAGCCUGAGUUUUCAAAGCAGAUCAGGGUUUAGGGAUUCUAAUUAGUGUGUUGAUUAUCCGUAAGCAUUAACUUCGCAUUUUAAUCUUCCAGAAAUUAAAAGACAGCUGCAUUUCUAUGUGUUGAUGGCUCAAAAGACAGCGAUGUAUGUGUGUCACGAUAUACUCGGUUGUGUAGUCUUUUCUUUGAAAUCCAAAAUGCUUUCUGAAUUUUUAUAUUGUAACCUUGUAAGGCUUUCUGGAAGUCCUUUGUAGAUGAGAGUGUUUGAGUCAUCUUUUAAAGAUAGGACUGUCCUUGUUCAUACACAACCCUCACAGUUCCAUAUAGGAGAAAUAGAAUAAUGAAGAAGGGAGGAAAUAUUGAUUUUGGAAGCCCUUUUCCUUUGCAUUGCCCCCCCCCCUUUUUUUUUCUACAGAUGGAUCUUGGCCUCUAAACAAGUCACCUUUGAAAGAAAAUGGCACAGACAAGAUCUAGGUCUUGACGCUGCUUCUUUUUGAAGUGCUUGAUCAUUUGGGAUCUUUUCAGAAUUGCUAGCAGAGCCUAAAGGGAUAUAUGUUGUGCCACUGCUGGGGAAAUCAGUCAAUUAAGCCAUUGUAGCAUGCAUCAAAUUAUCCGCAUGAUUGGAGAUGGAAUAACCAUCUUGAUAGGCUUUCUAAAGACAGGACUGCAACCCUACCCAUAUACAAUCUAUGUGAAAGGCUAAUCUUCAGUGGGUUUUAUAGGGGUGUUUUUCCAGACAAGGAAAAAAAGGGGGAGAAACCCACCUUGGUAUUGAGAGGGCAUUGUACUGCUUGCUCUUCAUUAAAUUGUAGCUGCAAUCUCAAGUCAGGGAUGCCACUUAGCAGAAUUGUGGGUUCACAAAUGCAGUAGGGAGGGGGUGGUUCACCACAAUGUAAACCAAGUAAAAGGAUGCAUGUUAUCCCUUACACUCCUCCCCCAGUUAAACUGCAGUGUUCAGAAUAAAAAAUGACUCAACUGCACCACUGUUCUCCAAGGCCAGUUCUUCUUUCAAAAGAAGUUAGCAAAUGUCUAUUGCUAAUAUUUUUAUCUUAUGCACGUAUGUCAUAAAGGAUGGGGCUCUUUUUCAAUGAAUAAGGUUUUGAAUAAUGUGUCCUUCUGCCAGUAUGGAAGGUCUUUUGCUAGUAACUAAAAUUGCUAAAGCUGAGGAUUGAUUUAGGUCAAUCAAUCAGCUAUACUUUCCAUUCCUGAAUAUUAUUAUUCAAUCCAGCAGAAGGAUCUGGGGGGGGGGUCAAAAACAACCUCAUAAAUGUAAAACCCAUCCAUCUCCUCCCUCACCCAAAUCUCAUCUCACUUCUUGAGAUGUUGGCAAAUUCAUCCAAGGAUCUCAGGAGAUAACAAGGCUAAAAAUGCAUGAAAAUGUGUGAAAACCAGGCCAUUUUUAAUUUUAAAAAAAUAAUAAUUUGAGGAUUUUGUAUGCACCAUUUUGGGUAGCAGUGAUAGAUGUGCUGGUACUUGUAGGCAUUCUGCCAAUUCCUAAUUUAGCCUGACUGUUAGUAAGUAGCUCAGAAAUAUCACAUACUCUGCCUCCCUUAAAGUGGGUAACUCUAGAGGUAAAAGAGAAAUUGUACUUUUUAAUGCCUCAUUGUUAAUUCUCUGCUCUUGGAAAGGUGGCAAAGCCUAGUUUUCUUCAUGAAGUGUCAAUUUUGAUGGGUUUUUUUUAUUGUUUGUUUCUGAUGUGUUUCCAAAUAUUUAGCAAUGUCAAGUGUAUACCGCUAUCUCCUGUGCUGGUACAGUCCGUUGCAGAAUGGUGCUGCUCUUAUUGCGCAAGGCACAAUAAAUAAAUUCACUCCGAAGGGAUCAGAGAGCAGCACCAUUGGGCGUCUCUUGCUGAUAUGACCAUAUAAGUGCACAGCAGUGGUCUCUGGUUGAAACCAUCUUGUUUCAUAUACCCGAGUUAAGUCCAUUUAUGCCUUUACUGACCUGGGACGGUGCAGACAACUUUGCCUGUCUUUUGUUUUAAGCCUAAAAACAGUUUUGGUUUUAACCAGUAUA